ensembl:snoRNA
GGGGCCCCAUGAUGUCCAGCACUGGGCUCCGACUGCCCCAGAGGACACGGUGCCCCUCCCCUCAGUGCCUU